rnacentral:rRNA from 1 species
UGAGCAAUCUGCCCUUCUCUUUGGAAUAAGCGUGGGAAACCGCGUCUAAUGCCGAAUACGACCUCCUUUCGCAUGAUCGGAGGUGGAAAGCUCCGGCGGAGAAGGAUGAGCUCGCGGCCUAUCAGCUAGUUGGUGUGGGUAACGCCCACAAGGCGACGACGGGUAGCCGGCCUGAGAGGGUGACCGGCCACACUGGGACUGAGACACGGCCCUGACCUCCGUACGGGAGCAGC